UCGAGAAUCUUCGGCAAUGGGCGCAAGCCUGACCGAGCGACGCCGCGUGGAGGACGAAGGCCUUCGGGUUGUAAACUCCUGUCGAGGGGAAGGAAGGGGCCGAAAGGCCCUUGACCGCUCCCUGGAGGAAGCACGGGCUAAGUUCGUGCCAGCAGCCGCGGUAAGACGAACCGUGCGAACGUUAUUCGGAAUCACUGGGCUUAAAGCGCGUGUAGGCGGGACGGUGCGUCGGCCGCUGAAAUCCCCCGGCUCAACCGGGGAAGGGGCGCCGAUACGACCGCCCUGGAGCGACGUAGGGGGAACUGGAACUUCCGGUGGAGCGGUGAAAUGCGUUGAGAUCGGAAGGAACGCCCGUGGCGAAAGCGAGUUCCUGGACGUCGGCUGACGCUGAGACGCGAAAGCCAGGGGAGCGAACG
rnacentral:rRNA from 1 species